rnacentral:rRNA from 1 species
UACGUAGGUGGCAAGCGUUGUCCGGAUUUACUGGGCGUAAAGAGCGCGCAGGCGGUCGAUCAAGUCGCGUGUGAAAGCCCCCGGCUCAACUGGGGAGGGUCACGCGAUACUGAUCGACUCGAAGGCAGGAGAGGGUAGUGGAAUUCCCGGUGUAGUGGUGAAAUGCGUAGAUAUCUGGAGGAACACCGGUGGCGAAGGCGACAUCCUGGACCGGUAUUGACGCUGAGGCGCGAAAGCCAGGGGAGCAAACGGG